AACGAACGCUGGCGGCAGGCCUAACACAUGCAAGUCGAACGCACCGCAAGGUGAGUGGCGCACGGGUGAGUAACACGUGGGAAUGUACCCUUUGGUUCGGAAUAACGUUUGGAAACGAACGCUAAUACCGGAUGAGCCCUGCGGGGGAAAGAUUUAUCGCCAAAGGAGCAGCCCGCGUCUGAUUAGCUAGUUGGUGGGGUAAAGGCCUACCAAGGCGACGAUCAGUAGCUGGUCUGAGAGGAUGAUCAGCCACACUGGGACUGAGACACGGCCCAGACUCCUACGGGAGGCAGCAGUGGGGAAUAUUGGACAAUGGGCGCAAGCCUGAUCCAGCCAUGCCGCGUGAGUGAUGAAGGCCUUAGGGUUGUAAAGCUCUUUUGUCCGGGAAGAUAAUGACUGUACCGGAAGAAUAAGCCCCGGCUAACUUCGUGCCAGCAGCCGCGGUAAU
rnacentral:rRNA from 1 species